rnacentral:SRP_RNA from 1 species
GCCAGGCGUGGUGGCUCAUGCCUGUAAUCCCAGCACUUUGGGAGGCUGAGGUGGGUGGAUCACCUGAGGUCAGGAGUUUGAGACCAGCCUGGCCAACAUGGUGAAACCCCAUCUCUA